GUGCUCGCUUCGGCAGCACAUAUACUAACAUGGGAAGGACACGGAGAAGAUUAGCACGGCCCCUGCGCAAGGAUGACACGCAAAUUCAUGAAGCGUCUCAUUAAAAA